rnacentral:lncRNA from 1 species
CGAUUUGUUCUUAGAGCUGUUUGGUAGAUUACUUUUCGAUUCAAUUGAUUAAUAUUCUUUUCUCUCUUAGGGUUACUCUGUUUCUCUAAUUAAAAAUGGUUUCUUUCAGCUUUUUUUGUUGACAGGAGUUAAAAAGUUUGAAGCUUUAUUUUAUGUCUGACAAGAUAUCACCCUUUUGCUAUCUACCACCUCUCUGCUUGGAGAAUUAUAACACUAUCAUCCUACACCACCCACAGCUUAGAACCACCACCACCACUAGCUCCUCCAUCACACGCAUCUUCAAACCCGAGACACCUCCUCUUCCUCUCUGCGACCACUUUCACUAACCAAACUCAAAGAUGGCGCUCCAGAACAUUGGUGCUUCCAACCGCAACGACGCCUUUUACCGUUACAAGAUGCCUAAGAUGGUUACUAAAACCCUUUUAAAGUUUGAAUGAAUUAUUUCAUUCUCCUGAAUCAUAUUUUUAGGUAUUUUUGAAAAUUUUAGUAAUACGAAAGCUAAUUAAAAAAAAAAAAGAUAAAAAGAGCUUUAUUUAAAAAAUCUUAUAAAAAAUGAAAAGAUUAGAAAUACCAUUAUUUUAAACGUUUCAAUUGUGUAUCUAAAAUUAGUUUGAAACUUUGAUGUACUGAAAAAAACAAAUAUUUAAAUUAAGUUUUUAAGAACGUCAGAUUUCAACUAUAAAUUUUAAAGAAUGUCUGAUUUUAUUUUGUCCAAGCUUUGCCAAUACAAUUUAACUUUUAAAAUUUUAGUUUCCAGUUUAAGUUGAAUUGGGUUUUGUUCCCCCUUUACUAAAAAAAAUGGAAAUUAUAAAAUAAUUAGUUAAUUACUUGCGGAGAAGGAAAUAAUCUUAAAACGUUAAAAGUAAAAGAUCUUUCCUUUUCGUAAAAGUUAACCCUAAUUUCUCCUUCUUUAUAUAAACAACCCAACGCACGCCUCCUCUCACAAAUCUAAAUCUUCGUUCCUAGCUUUCGACUCCAUCGUCUCCGAUUCAGAGGUAUCUCUCCAGAUCCUUGUAGAUUACUGUUUCAAUCUCAUGCGAGAAGCUCUGUUUUUGAUUUUCGUAAUCAGUUUCUUCCCCAAAUUGAGCUUAUUCGUUGAAAUCUCGUAAUGAUUGAUUGAAAUUAUUAUUACUACUACUAGUCUCUCUUAGUUGUUCGAUUCUCCCUUAGGUUUGCUCGAUUCAGGAACCGAACAUAGCUCGAUUUGUUCUUAGAGCUGUUUGGUAGAUUACUUUUCGAUUCAAUUGAUUAAUAUUCUUUUCUCUCUUAGGGUUACUCUGUUUCUCUAAUUAAAAAUGGUUUCUUUCAGCUUUUUUUGUUGACAGGAGUUAAAAAGUUUGAAGCUUUAUUUUAUGUCUGACAAGAUAUCACCCUUUUGCUAUCUACCACCUCUCUGCUUGGAGAAUUAUAACACUAUCAUCCUACACCACCCACAGCUUAGAACCACCACCACCACUAGCUCCUCCAUCACACGCAUCUUCAAACCCGAGACACCUCCUCUUCCUCUCUGCGACCACUUUCACUAACCAAACUCAAAGAUGGCGCUCCAGAACAUUGGUGCUUCCAACCGCAACGACGCCUUUUACCGUUACAAGAUGCCUAAGAUGGUUACUAAAACCGAAGGCAAAGGUAACGGCAUCAAGAC